GUGCCAGCAGCCGCGGUAAUACGGAGGGUGCAAGCGUUGUCCGGAUUUAUUGGGUUUAAAGGGUGCGUAGGCGGCUUGUUAAGUCCGGGGUGAAAGCCCACUGCUCAACAGUGGAACUGCCCUGGAUACUGGCAAGCUUGAGUCCAGACGAGGUUGGCGGAAUGGAUGGUGUAGCGGUGAAAUGCAUAGAUACCAUCCAGAACCCCGAUUGCGAAGGCAGCUGACUAGGCUGGUACUGACGCUGAGGCACGAAAGCGUGGGGAGCG
rnacentral:rRNA from 1 species